CCUACGGGUGGCAGCAGUGGGGAAUCUUCCGCAAUGGGCGCAAGCCUGACGGAGCAAUGCCGCGUGAACGAAGAAGGUCUUCGGAUUGUAAAGCUCUGUUCUUAUGGAAGUGAGAGUCUAUAGUGGAAAAUGAUAUCCUAGGACGUUAGAUUAGGAGGAAGCUCCGGCUAACUACGUGCCAGCAGCCGCGGUAAUACGGAGGGGGCUAGCGUUGUCCGGAGUCACUGGGUGUAAAGGGGGCGGAGGUGGUAAUAUAAGUCAGAUGUGAAAGGUGGGGGCUCAACCCCUAGAGUGCAACUGAUACUGUAUAACUUGAGUGUGAGAGAGGGAAGCGGAAUUCCUAGUGUAGCGGUGAAAUGCGUAGAUAUUAGGAGGAACACCAGUGGCGAAGGCGGCUUGCUGGCUCAUAACUGACGCUGAGGCGCGAAAGCGUGGGGAGCAAACAGGAUUAGAUACCCCAGUAGUC
rnacentral:rRNA from 1 species